rnacentral:rRNA from 1 species
GACGAACCGUGCGAACGUUAUUCGGAAUCACUGGGCUUAAAGCGCGUGUAGGCGGGCCGCCACGUCAGUCGCUGAAAUCCCCCGGCUCAACCGGGGAAGUGGCACUGAUACGAGCGGCCUGGAGGGAGGUAGGGGGGGCUGGAACUUCCGGUGGAGCGGUGAAAUGCGUUGAGAUCGGAAGGAACGCCCGUGGCGAAAGCGAGCCCCUGGACCUUUUCUGACGCUGAGACGCGAAAGCUAGGGGAGCGAACGGGAUUAGAUACCCCGGUAGUCCUAGCCGUAAACGAUGGGCACUGGGUAGGGGGCUCGCCGAUGGGCUCCCUGCCGAAGGGAAACCGUGAAGUGCCCCGCCUGGGGAGUAUGGUCGCAAGGCUGAA